GAUUGGGUUUUUUUUUUGUAAUAAAGUUAAGGCUGGUACUCUUGACUGUUUUAUAAAAUUGAAGAAACUUCUAUGGUUGAAAUUUUAGAAGUGUCUAGGGGGUUGAGUAUACCAAGAGUAUGUAAAAUUUUGUGUUAAUUUGAUGAUACGGACAGAGGAUAUUUGACUAUUAGUAUAAAGAGAUAUCAAAAGUUAGCAGAUUGGAGUUAU
rnacentral:lncRNA from 1 species